AUACGUAGGGGGCGAGCGUUGUCCGGAAUGAUUGGGCGUAAAGGGCGCGUAGGCGGCGCGGUAAGUCUGGAGUGAAAGUCCUGCUUUCAAGGUGGGAAUUGCUUUGGAUACUGCCGCGCUUGAGUGCAGGAGAGGUUAUCGGAAUUCCCGGUGUAGCGGUGAAAUGCGUAGAGAUCGGGAGGAACACCAGUGGCGAAGGCGGGUAACUGGACUGCAACUGACGCUGAGGCGCGAAAGUGUGGGGAGCAAACAGGAUUAGAUACCCUGGUAGUCCACACUGUAAACGAUGAAUGCUAGGUGUAAGAGGUAUCGACCCCUUUUGUGCCGGAGUCAACACAAUAAGCAUUCCGCCUGGAGAGUACGGCCGCAAGGUUGAAACUCAAAUGAAUUGACGGGG
rnacentral:rRNA from 1 species